CUGAUUUCUGAAGCUGCAUCCAAGCCUGCUGCCGCAGCCGCAUCGUGCUGGCUCGACGCCGCCUCGGUGUGCACGCCAGGCCGGCGCCCCGACGAUCUCGCGAGGGCACAUCGGCUGCCAAGCUAGGCCGUGGCCCCAUCCCAAGGCCUCCGCCGCCGCCCUGACGAGCGUGCCAGGCCGUGGCCCCAGCCCAAGGCCUCCGCCGCUGCCCCGAUGAGCGCGCCAGGUCGCGGCCCCAUGCCAAGGUCUCCAUCGCCGCCCCGACGAGCGCGCCAGGCCACGGCCCCAUCCCAAGCCUCCACCUCCGACCCUCGACGCUGCCAGAGAUCCCAAUCCCCCAAUUUCCCAUUUCUCUUACUUAUCUGUGAAGUUGCAUUGAUUUGUUUUGGACAAAUUAGUCAUGAUUUUGACCAUAAUUCCUCUUCUAUGUAGCUUGCCAGCUGACUGUUAAUCGUGCCAUGUAUAAUGCAAGGAUACUUCUGGCCUUCUAGGUGCAGCUUGUUUGACCGUAUUUUUCACUGUAAAAGAUUAACUGUCUAGGGUCAGAGAAUGGUGCACAUUUUUUUCUUUGUAGCUAGUCAGCAGUUGUCUGAGUGCAUUUUGUUCAGGAUCAGAGAAUGGUGCACAUGCACACUCCAUGAUGUAAUGGCCUUUCUUAUUGUACUGUAUAUGUGAUAGAGCCAAUUGACAAUCAGGUAUCAACAAUUUGUAAAUGUAGGAUCUAAGCAUUUCUGAUGUCGUAAAGUUGCCGUCGCCUGUCAUGGCAAGGGCCUCAAGAUCCAGAUGGCUUCAUCAACUCGGCUAGCUGCAGCUAAUCUGUAGGAACUCCUCUCACUUGUUACUGCUGCAGCUGUUGGUGGAGCUGUGUUGUACUGACUUCUAAGUCAUAUGUAACUGUGAAUUUAGGUGUGGUGGUGCUUAUUAGCAAAUGAAAGGAUUUGUACAGUGUGUUGUAAUGACUCAUGAGAAGCCAUGUAAUGUUCUCCAGGCUAUACGAAAUGUAAGCCUCAACAAUGUAUCAAUUCUAGCAGUAGCUUGCUGCUAGUAAUAUAGUUGUUUGUUGUCAAAAAAGUGGAAGAACAAGAGGAAUUAUUGUUCAGCUUA